AAAUUGAAGAGUUUGAUCAUGGCUCAGAUUGAACGCUGGCGGCAGGCCUAACACAUGCAAGUCGAGCGGUAGCACAGAGAGCUUGCUCUCGGGUGACGAGCGGCGGACGGGUGAGUAAUGUCUGGGAAACUGCCUGAUGGAGGGGGAUAACUACUGGAAACGGUAGCUAAUACCGCAUAACGUCGCAAGACCAAAGUGGGGACCUUCGGGCCUCAUGCCAUCAGAUGUGCCCAGAUGGGAUUAGCUAGUAGGUGGGGUAACGGCUCACCUAGGCGACGAUCCCUAGCUGGUCUGAGAGGAUGACCAGCCACACUGGAACUGAGACACGGUCCAGACUCCUACGGGAGGCAGCAGUGGGGAAUAUUGCACAAUGGGCGCAAGCCUGAUGCAGCCAUGCCGCGUGUGUGAAGAAGGCCUUCGGGUUGUAAAGCACUUUCAGCGGGGAGGAAGGCGGUGAGGUUAAUAACCUCAUCGAUUGACGUUACCCGCAGAAGAAGCACCGGCUAACUCCGUGCCAGCAGCCGCGGUAAUACGGAGGGUGCAAGCGUUAAUCGGAAUUACUGGGCGUAAAGCGCACGCAGGCGGUCUGUCAAGUCGGAUGUGAAAUCCCCGGGCUUAACCUCGGGAACUGCAUUCGAAACUGGCAGGCUAGAGUCUUGUAGAGGGGGUAGAAUUCCGAGGUGUAGCGGUGAAAUGCGUAGAGAUCUGGAGGAAUACCGGUGGCGAAGGCGGCCCCCCUGGACAAAAGACUGACGCUCAGGUGCGAAAGCGUGGGGAGCAAACAGGAUUAGAUACCCUGGUAGUCCACGCCGUAAACGAUGUCGAUUUGGAGGUUGUGCCCUUGAGGCGUGGCUUCCGGAGCUAACGCGUUAAAUCGACCGCACUGGGGAGUACGGCCGCAAGGUUAAAACUCAAAUGAAUUGACGGGGGCCCGCACAAGCGGUGGAGCAUGUGGUUUAAUUCGAUGCAACGCGAAGAACCUUACCCGGUCUUGACAUCCACAGAACUUUCCAGAGAUGGAUUGGUGCCUUCGGGAACUGUGAGACAGGUGCUGCAUGGCUGUCGUCAGCUCGUGUUGUGAAAUGUUGGGUUAAGUCCCGCAACGAGCGCAACCCUUAUCCUUUGUUGCCAGCGGUCCGGCCGGGAACUCAAAGGAGACUGCCAGUGAUAAACUGGAGGAAGGUGGGGAUGACGUCAAGUCAUCAUGGCCCUUACGACCAGGGCUACACACGUGCUACAAUGGCAUAUACAAAGAGAAGCGACCUCGCGAGAGCAAGCGGACCUCAUAAAGUAUGUCGUAGUCCGGAUUGAGUCUGCAACUCGACUCCAUGAAGUCGGAAUCGCUAGUAAUCGUAGAUCAGAAUGCUACGGUGAAUACGUUCCCGGGCCUUGUACACACCGCCCGUCACACCAUGGGAGUGGGUUGCAAAAGAAGUAGGUAGCUUAACCUUCGGGAGGGCGCUUACCACUUUGUGAUUCAUGACUGGGGUGAAGUCGUAACAAGGUAACCGUAGGGGAACCUGCGGUUGGAUCACCUCCUUA
rnacentral:rRNA from 1 species